UACGUAGGGUGCGAGCGUUAAUCGGAAUUACUGGGCGUAAAGCGUGCGCAGGCGGUCUGUUAAGACCGAUGUGAAAUCCCCGGCUUAACCUGGGAACUGCAUUGGUGACUGGCAGGCUUUGAGUGUGGCAGAGGGAGGUAGAAUUCCACGUGUAGCAGUGAAAUGCGUAGAGAUGUGGAGGAAUACCGAUGGCGAAGGCAGCCUCCUGGGCCAACACUGACGCUCAUGCACGAAAGCGUGGGGAGCAAACAGGAU
rnacentral:rRNA from 1 species